ACCGGAUAGAGUCUUCCCCCGCAUGAGAGAAGACGGAAUGGUUGCGCAAGCUACCACUUGUGGAAGGGCCUGCGGCGCAUUAGCCAGUUGGUGGGGUAAUGGCCUACCAAGGCGACGAUGCGUAGCCGAUCUGAGAGCGUGACCGGCCACACUGGGGCUGAGUCACGGCCCAGACUCCUAACGGGAGGUAGCAGUAGGGAAUUUUCCUCAAUGGGCGAAGGUCUGAUGGAGCACCGCCGUGCGAACCAUGAAGGCAUUCGGGUUGUAAAUGUUCUGUUGUCAGUGAUGAUCAAGUACCGUUCGAAAAGGCCGGAACCUUGACGGUACCUGACGAGAAAGCCAUGGCUAACUACGUGCCAGCAACCGCGGUAAUACGUAGAUGUCAAGCGUUGUCCGGAUUUAUUGGGCGCAAAGCGCGCGCAGGCGGCUAUGUAAGUCUGGUGUUAAAGCCCGGGGCUCAACCCCGGUUCGCAUCGGAAACUGUGUAGCUUGAGUGCAGAAGAGGAAAGCGGUAUUCCA
rnacentral:rRNA from 1 species